rnacentral:rRNA from 1 species
GAUUAUGGCUCAGGAUGAACGCUGGCGGCGUGCUUAACACAUGCAAGUCGAACGGACAUUUAAUGAAACCUAGUGAUUUAAAUGUUAGUGGCGGACGGGUGAGUAACGCGUGGGUAACCUGCCUUACACUGGGGGGAUAACACUUAGAAAUAGGUGCUAAUACCGCAUAAGCACACAGCUUUGCAUGAAGCAGUGUGAAAAACUCCGGUGGUGUAAGAUGGACCCGCGUCUGAUUAGCUAGUUGGUGAGGUAAUGGCUCACCAAGGCGACGAUCAGUAGCCGGCCUGAGAGGGUGAACGGCCACAUUGGGACUGAGACACGGCCCAAACUCCUACGGGAGGCAGCAGUGGGGAAUAUUGGACAAUGGGGGAAACCCUGAUCCAGCGACGCCGCGUGAGUGAAGAAGUAUUUCGGUAUGUAAAGCUCUAUCAGCAGGGAAGAAAAUGACGGUACCUGACUAAGAAGCCCCGGCUAACUACGUGCCAGCCGCCGC